rnacentral:rRNA from 1 species
UACAGAGGUCUCAAGCGUUGUUCGGAUUCAUUGGGCGUAAAGGGUGCGUCGGCGGCGCGGUAAGUCGGGUGUGAAAUCUUGGAGCUUAACUCCGAAACUGCAUUCGAUACUGCCGUGCUUGAGGACUGGAGAGGAGACUGGAAUUUACGGUGUAGCGGUGAAAUGCGUAGAUAUCGUAAGGAAGACCAGUGGCGAAGGCGGGUCUCUGGACAGUUCCUGACGCUGAGGCACGAAGGUCAGGGGAGCAAACGGG